GAUGAACGCUGGCGGCGUGCCUAACACAUGCAAGUCGAACGGAGAUUCCGGACGGAAGUUUUCGGAUGGAAGCCUGUACUUCUUAGUGGCGGACGGGUGAGUAACGCGUGGGUUACCUGCCCUAUACAGGGGGAUAGCAGCUGGAAACGGCUGGUAAGACCGCAUAAGUCGGUUAAAUCGCAUGAUUUGCUCGGGAAAUGAGCAAGCAGGUAUAGGAUGGGGCUGCGUCCGAUUAGCCAGUCGGCAGGGUAAAAGCCUACCAAAGCGACGAUCGGUAGCCGGACUGAGAGGUCGGACGGCCACAUUGGGGCUGAGACACAGCCCAAACUCCUACGCGAGGGAGGAGUGGGUGAUAUUGCACAAUGGAGGAAGCUCUGAUGCAGCGACGCCGCGUGAGUGAAGAAGUAGUUCGGUAUGUGAAGCUCUAUCAGCAGGGGAGAUGAUGACGGUACCUGACGAAGAAGCCCCGGCUAACUACGUG
rnacentral:rRNA from 1 species